rnacentral:tRNA from 2 species
UCCCUGGUGGUCCAGUGGUUAGGACUCGGCGCUUUCACUGCCGAGGGCCCAGGUUCGAUCCCUGGCCGGGGAA